UCUACAGAACAACCUCGAUAUAACAAAUCGAAAGAAAACAAGUAAAAUAUUCGUUAUUUCAAGUAAUUCGUUGAACUGAGGUUUGUUAUAUUGAGGU